rnacentral:rRNA from 1 species
CGGUAAUACGGAGGGUGCGAGCGUUGUCCGGAUUUAUUGGGUUUAAAGGGUGCGUAGGCGGUUUAUUAAGUCAGUGGUGAAAGACGGUCGCUCAACGAUUGCAGUGCCAUUGAUACUGGUAGACUUGAGUUSGUAUGAGGUAGCUGGAAUGGAUAGUGUAGCGGUGAAAUGCAUAGAUAUUAUCCAGAACUCCAAUUGMGUAGGCAGGUUASUAAUACGAUACUGACGMUGAUGCAMGAAAGUGUGGGGAUCAAACAGGAUUAGAUACCCUGGUAGUCCACACUGUAAACGAUGAUGACUAACUGUUUGCCCUUUGGGGUGAGUGGUACAGAGAAAUCGUUAAGUCAUCCACCUGGGGAGUACGCCGGCCACGGUGA